GGCGCGCAAAUUACCCACUCCCAGCACGGGGAGGUAGUGACGAAAAAUAACGAUACGGGACUCAUCCGAGGCCCCGUAAUCGGAAUGAGUACACUCUAAACUCUUCCCCAAAAAUCAAUUGGAGGGUAAGUCUGGUGCCAGCAGCCGCGGUAAUUCCAGCUCCAAUAGCGUAUAUUAAAGUUGUUGCGGUUAAAAAGCUCGUAGUCGAACCUGUGUCCUGCGCCGCUGGUUCAUCGCUCGCGGUGUCCAACUGGCGUGUCGCGGGACGUCCUGCCGGUGGGAUCGUGUGUUGCUUAGGCGGCGCGCGUCCCAACUCGUUUCCGUCUCGCGCGGUUGCGAAUCCCAUCGCGGUGCUCUUUGUUGAGUGUCGAGGUGGGCCGGCACGUUUACUUUGAACAAAUUAGAGUGCUUAAAGCAGGCCAAUUUUGCCUGAAUAUUGUGUGCAUGGAAUAAUGGAAUAGGACCUCGGUUCUAUUUUGUUGGUUUUCGGAACCCCGAGGUAAUGAUUAAUAGGAACGGAUGGGGGCAUUCGUAUUGCGACGUUAGAGGUGAAAUUCUUGGAUCGUCGCAGGACGGACAGAAGCGAAAGCAUUUGCCAAAAACGUUUUCAUUGAUCAAGAACGAAAGUUAGAGGUUCGAAGGCGAUCAGAUACCGCCCUAGUUCUAACCAUAAACGAUGCCAGCUAGCGAUCCGCCGACGUUCCUCCGAUGACUCGGCGGGCAGCUUCCGGGAAACCAAAGCUUUUGGGUUCCGGGGGAAGUAUGGUUGCAAAGCUGAAACUUAAAGGAAUUGACGGAAGGGCACCACCAGGAGUGGAGCCUGCGGCUUAAUUUGACUCAACACGGGACACCUUACCAGGCCCGGACACCGGAAGGAUUGACAGAUUGAGAGCUCUUUCUUGAUUCGGUGGGUGGUGGUGCAUGGCCGUUCUUAGUUGGUGGAGCGAUUU
rnacentral:rRNA from 1 species